UACGUAGGGUGCAAGCGUUUGUCCGGAAUUAUUGGGCGUAAAGAGCUUGUAGGCGGUUUGUCGCGUCUGCUGUGAAAUUUCGGGGCUCAACCCCGAACUUGCAGUGGGUACGGGCAGACUAGAGUGUGGUAGGGGAGACUGGAAUUCCUGGUGUAGCGGUGAAAUGCGCAGAUAUCAGGAGGAACACCGAUGGCGAAGGCAGGUCUCUGGGCCAUAACUGACGCUGAGAAGCGAAAAGCAUGGGGGAGCGAACAGG
rnacentral:rRNA from 1 species